rnacentral:rRNA from 1 species
UACGUAGGGUGCGAGCGUUAAUCGGAAUUACUGGGCGUAAAGCGUGCGCAGGCGGUUCGUUGUGUCGGCGGUGAAAGCCCCGGGCUCAACCCUGGGAAUGGCCGUUGAAACUGGCGAACUGGAGUGUGGCAGAGGGGGGGUGGAAUUCCGCGUGUAGCAGUGAAAUGCGUAGAGAUGCGGAGGAACACCGAUGGCGAAGGCAGCCCCUGGGCUGACACUGACGCUCAGGCACGAAAGCGUGGGGAGCAAACAGG